GCUAGGCUCCAUAGCUCUCUUUGUAGCCAUACUUAGGAGAUCCCGAUCAAGAGAAAAUAACAAGAAGGCGCUGUUAAGGUGAUAUAGAAUGUCACGACUUCUCGAGCUUAUCUUAUACCCUUCCCUUGCUGGAAGAAGCCAGCCUUCAAAGUCUCAGUCCCAUCGUUGAUGCAGCUUCGACCCUUUUCAAAAGACCUUUCUUACUUAAUAGGUUUAGGUUAAGGGACCUCCGAUCUGAUCCCUCCUAAUUGGCUGUUCCAUUCAAUUUUGCCCUUAGGUGGAUAUCCCAAUUAGCCUAUGUUCAUAUGUCUCCAGG
rnacentral:lncRNA from 1 species